CGCGUGCACUGGUCCGGCCGGGCCUUUCCCUCUGCGGAACCCCAUGCCCUUCACUGGGCGUGGCGGGGAAACAGGACUUUUACUUUGAAAAAAUUAGAGUGCUCAAGGCAGGCCUAUGCUCGAAUACAUUAGCAUGGAAUAAUGAAAUAGGACGUUGCGGUUCUAUUUUGUUGGUUUCUAGGACCGCCGUAAUGAUUAAUAGGGACAGUCGGGGGCAUCAGUAUUCAAUUGUCAGAGGUGAAAUUCUUGGAUUUAUUGAAGACUAACUACUGCGAAAGCAUUUGCCAAGGAUGUUUUCAUUAAUCAGGAACGAAAGUUAGGGGAUCGAAGACGAUCAGAUACCGUCGUAGUCUUAACCAUAAACUAUGCCGACUAGGGAUCGGACGAUGUUAUAUUUUUUGACGCGUUCGGCACCUUACGAGAAAUCAAAGUGCUUGGGCUCCAGGGGGAGUAUGGUCGCAAGGCUGAAACUUAAAGAAAUUGACGGAAGGGCACCACCAGGGGUGGAGCCUGCGGCUUAAUUUGACUCAACACGGGGAAACUCACCAGGUCCAGACACAAUGAGGAUUGACAGAUUGAGAGCUCUUUCUUGACUUUGUGGGUGGUGGUGCAUGGCCGUUCUUAGUUGGUGGAGUGAUUUGUCUGCCUAAUUGCGAUAACGAACGAGACCUUAACCUGCUAAAUAGCCCGUGCUGCUUUGGCAGCACGCCGGCUUCUUAGAGGGACUAUCGG
rnacentral:rRNA from 1 species